rnacentral:sRNA from 1 species
AUAAUCAACUACUAAUCCACUAAUCUACUAAUCUAAAAUGCUUCUAAAUAUGCCUAAAAACACACAUAUGUCACACUCUUUGUGUAAAUAUGGGGUGUUCCAUAAUAUUCGUUUGUCACAAUCAAGGACACUAACGAACGGUCUUUAUCACUAUCAAUGACACUAACGAACGGUCUUUAUCACUAUCAAUGACACUGACGAACGCUAUUUUAAUGUUGAAAAUACAUAUCAAAGGGAUGUAACUCAAGGCCGGGAAAUGGACAUUGCUUUGAUUUAUUUUGUAGGCCUAUAGAUCUAACAUUUUCUUACUUAAUUUUCAUUUGUUUUAGAUGUAAGACCAAGUGUGAUGUGAAUGAGUAAAAAGAAAGGGAAUAUCGCUAAAUAUAGUUCUAAUGAGGGGCAGAGUUGGAUAUAAUGUGAAUGAAAAAAAUUAUGUUUUUGGUUAUUACUGGCUGUGAUAUAUCACACAUUCUAGGCACCACACUUGAUCAAACACUAUGCAGUAUGAAGGUACAGCCAUUUUUCUUAACCAGUGCUAUCAAGGACCUGAUUGGAAUGGGGUUGAUAAGGAGUAUGACCACGAAGAACACAUUUUUGGAGUCAUUAACAUGCCUGGUUGACUAAUUGUCUCAGCUCUGCUCAAACAGACAAACAAUGGCAAAGAUGACUGCAAAGAUCCCAAGUAGGUGCUAACUAAACCAGUGCCAGCAGUGGGCUGCCCUGCUUUGUUCUUCUGGCUUGCAUAUAUUAACACAUGAUAUUGUUGGUAUGUUUUGCACCAAUUAAAACCCCAAGCAAGAUGUAAUUUUGUACUUAACAAUUCAAAUGCCAAUGUCAAAAGUUUACAAAUUAAUGUGGCCUUAUGUUUUGAUUGAGGUCUUUAAAUUGUCACAUCAUCAAUGUUAGUCUAAUUUCAAUGAUUCUGGAAGACCCUGAUACCCAGAAUAGUACACCAGUCUGAUUUUUUUUUUCAAGAGAGUCCAUUCUCCAGGACUAAAAAAAAAAAA